rnacentral:rRNA from 1 species
UUAGAUACCCUGGUAGUUCCACGCCGUAACCGAUGAGUGCUAAGUGUUAGAGGGUUUCCGCCCUUUAGUGCUGAAAGUUACCGCUUAAAGCACUCCGCCUGGGGAGUACCGGCCGCAAGGCUGAAACUCAAAAGGAAUUGACGGGGGGCCGCCCAAGCGGUGGAGCAUGUGGUUUAAUUCGAAGCAACGCGAAAGAACCUUCCCAGGUCUUGACAUCCUCUCCCCCCCCCCAGAGAUAGGGCUUCCCCUUCGGGAGCAGAGUGACAGAUGGUGCAUGGUUGUCGUCAGCUCGUGUCGUGAGAUGUUGGGUUAAGUCCCGCAACGAGCGCAACCCUUGAUCUUAGUUGCCAUCAUUUAGUUGGGCACUCUAAGGUGACUGCCGGUGACAAACCGGAGGAAGGUGGGGAUGACGUCAAAUCAUCAUGCCCCUUAUGACCUGGGCUACACACGUGCUACAAUGCCCGGUACAAAGAGCUGCAAGACCGCGAGGUGGAGCUAAUCUCAUAAAACCGUUCUCAGUUCGGAUUGUAGGCUGCAACUCGCCUACA